UGCCAAGGAUGUUUUCAUUAAUCAAGAACGACAGUAGGGGGUUUGAAGACGAUUAGAUACCGUCGUAAUCUCUAUCAUAAACUAUGCCGACUAGAGAUAGGGAAAUGACAAUUAUAAGGGUUCCGCAUUGCUUUGUGCAACUGCUACGCGUAUUUGCACAACUGGUAUACUCCCCAGGAAAUCGGACACAAUCCGCCUAUUUCUAUCGUCCCUCUCUGAAAAGCACGAGUCAAACAGC
rnacentral:ncRNA from 1 species